CCGGUCACGCUGAUAUCACUUUGCUCUUUAAACACACCACAAGCUUCUUUUUUUUUUACUCAAUCUUUGCCAUUCACAUGCUUCACACUUGGCUCCCAGGGCUCUGCUCCCGAAAGAAGACUUGUCCAGACACACAUGGUGCGACUGAGAAAGUGAGUGCCAUCCAUUCAACACAGUGGGAUCCAUCUGGUGACUGAAAGAAGAGAACAUGUUUAGCAAUGUAGUCCAACUUUCAUCAGUGAUUUGGGGUCAUGAUGGUGAAGUAAAACGAUUAAAUAAAGUUUUUAUUCAGCUGAAGCAGAGACAGAAGAGUUGACGUUGGUCUACAAAUAAAAUGGCACUAGCCCUGCUCAAGAGCGCCAGACCCACAGGUCAGUAAUUUCUAGAGGGGUCAAAUUAUC